UACAGAGGGGGCAAGCGUUGUUCGGAAUUACUGGGCGUAAAGGGCGCGUAGGCGGCCUUCUAAGUCGAACGUGAAAUCCCCGGGCUCAACCCGGGAACUGCGUCCGAGACUGGAAGGCUUGAAUCCGGGAGAGGGAUGCAGAAUUCCAGGUGUAGCGGUGAAAUGCGUAGAUAUCUGGAGGAAUACCGGUGGCGAAGGCGGCAUCCUGGACCGACACUGACACUGAGGAGCGAAAGCCAGGGGAGCAAACGGG
rnacentral:rRNA from 1 species